rnacentral:rRNA from 1 species
UACGGAGGGUGCAAGCGUUAAUCGGAAUUACUGGGCGUAAAGCGUGCGUAGGCGGUAAGUUAAGUCUGCUGUGAAAUCCCUGGGCUCAACCUGGGAAUGGCGGUGGAUACUGGCUUGCUGGAGUACGGUAGAGGAAGGUGGAAUUCCCGGUGUAGCGGUGAAAUGCGUAGAGAUCGGGAGGAACAUCAGUGGCGAAGGCGACCUUCUGGACCAGUACUGACGCUGAGGCACGAAAGCGUGGGGAGCAAACAGGAUUAGAAACCCCGGUAGUCC